UGGAAGUUGCACAUCAUGCCGU
rnacentral:miRNA from 1 species